UACGUAGGGUGCAAGCGUUGUCCGGAAUUAUUGGGCGUAAAGAGCUCGUAGGCGGUUUGUUGCGUCGGCUGUGAAAUCCCGAGGCUCAACCUCGGGUCUGCAGUCGAUACGAGCAAACUAGAGUGUUGCAGGGGAGACUGGAAUUCCUGGUGUAGCGGUGAAAUGCGUAGAUAUCUGGAGGAACACCGGUGGCGAAGGCGGCAUCCUGGACCAAUAUUGACGCUGAGGAGCGAAAGCCAGGGGAGCAAACGGG
rnacentral:rRNA from 1 species